GUUGAUCCUGGCUCAGAUUGAACGCUGGCGGCAGGCCUAACACAUGCAAGUCGAACGGUAACAGGAAGCAGCUUGCUGCUUCGCUGACGAGUGGCGGACGGGUGAGUAAUGUCUGGGAAACUGCCUGAUGGAGGGGGAUAACUACUGGAAACGGGUGGCUAAUACCGCAUAACGUCGCAAGACCAAAGAGGGGGACCUCGGGCCUCUUGCCAUCAGAUGUGCCCAGAUGGGAUUAGCUUGUUGGUGAGGUAACGGCUCACCAAGGCGACGAUCCCUAGCUGGUCUGAGAGGAUGACCAGCCACACUGGAACUGAGACACGGUCAGACUGUACGGGAGGCAGCAGUGGGGAAUAUUGCACAAUGGCGCAAGCCUGAUGCAGCCAUGCCGCGUGUAUGAAGAAGGGCUCGGGUUGUAAAGUACUUCAGCGGGAAGAGAGGUGUUGGGUUAAUAACCACAGCA
rnacentral:rRNA from 1 species